ensembl:lncRNA
UUUUCUCAACAUUUUGAAAUAAAAGUAUAGCUUUUCAAUAUCUUUCAGAUGCCUCAAAGAUCCGACUAAUGUGAAGUUUUUAAAAACACAAAUUUGCAGGCGCAAGAUAAGUGUGAAAAGGCUGAACCAGCUAAGAAGUGUUCCAUUGGUAUCUACACAAAUGUCAAGAGACAGAGGAAAUCUCUUAACAAUUUGGGGAGACCCUGAAGGAAGGAGGGAGUCAUGGGAGGAUACAGAAAAGAGUUGGAGCAAAUGAAAAGGCAUGGAUGGGAUCCAGUCUGCCCCAUUGGAGAAAGUACCUAUGGCUAUAUGAUAGGAGAUCCAUUGAAGUAAAAAUAUUAGCCAUCAAAUAUUUUGGCCUUUGGCCUUGCUGUCACCAAGAAAGUUAUUUUAUGUGAUAUUCAGAAGCCUGAAAACUUGCACUCUUUUUCUGUGGAUACACCUGUUACUUACAUGCAUUGGAUGGAAGUUAUGAAAGUAGGUUUCUGGUUCGUGUCUCGGCUUAUGCUUAUCAAGUGACUUGAAAUCAUUAUCAGUUAUUACAGAGACAGGAGAUUCUACCAGUAUUAUGUCAGAAAUUUCAUAUUUUCAGGAAUCAUCUGAGAAUUUGAAAUCCUGUUCAGGUAAGGAUUCCCAAGAAUCUUCUGAAAUACCUGGAUGCAAUUAUUUUAACUUUUACAGGACAGUUGUGGCCCAGAGGGCUUGCCUGCUGCCCCAGAAGCAGAAUUCAGAAAGCUUCUGAAGCUUUGCAUUCGGGAGUCAACAAGUGUUUGCUUCCCAGAUGUUCUUUUUAGAUUGUGAUCCUAUCUUUGCAUUUUACAUUUCUCUGUGACAGAAAGGAUUUCAUGUGAUGAGUGUGUGAGUGUGUAUAAGCUAGCAGGGAACAGCUCUAUAGUGUUUUUAAUGCUGAGGCCACUUGGGGAGCACAGGAAAGAGAGUGGUAGCCCCGGGAUCUGGAGGAUCUGAGUUCAAAUUUGCCCUCAGACACUUGGCACUAAGUAGUUGGGUGGCUCUAGGCUUGAUCACCUCCCUCCUCCCUCAAAUGCUGUGAGACCUGAAAUAGGGGCUUUGGUGACCAAAUUAUACAUUAAAUGAUAUAUUUUUUUUUAAAAGAAUUUUAAAUAAUAGCUUUCUAUUUUCAAAAUACAUGUAAAGAUAGUUUUCAUCAUUCACCCUUGAAAAAAUCUUGUGUUCCAAAUUUUUCUCCCUUCCUUCCUCUUACUCCCUCACUUUGACAGCAAACAAUCCAAUAUAUGUAAACGAUGUACAAUUCUUCUCUACUUAUUUCAACAUUUAUCAUGAGAGAAAUCAGAUCAAAAAGGGAAAAACUGAGAAAGAAAACAAAAAAGGUGAGAAUGCUAUGUUGUGAUCCACAUUCAGUUCCCUUCCCAGUCCUCUCUCUGGUGUAGAUGGUUCUCUCUAUCACAGGUCUAUUGGAACUGUCCUGAAUCAUCUUGCUGGUGAAAAGAGCCAUGUCUGUCAGAAUUGAUCAUCACAUACUCUUGUUGUUGCCGUGUACAAUUAAUUCCUGGUUCUCCUCACUUCCUUCAGCAUCAGUUCAUGACUUGGAAAAAGCUUGACCCCUCAGUAGAGUCCUCAUACUCCAGUAUACAGAAAUUGGUCAUAAGUCACUUAUAGAGAGUUCAGAGCUUCAUUUUUGAAAAGGAAAGUAUUUCAAUGCUGAAAGAGUUGGUCAGGCUUGAUGAACAGAGUGAUCUUAUACCUAUACAUACUGUCUUCCUGGAGAGUCAGUGGAGAAUAUGAAAGUGCAAUAUUUGCUGUGAAUAGUUUUCGGAAAGUCUCUUGUGUAUUAAGCUCAAAUCUCUGUCAUGUUAGAGUAUUUGAAAUGGAUGUAGAUGAUGGGGAAAUUGAAGAGGAAGAGAAGGAUGAAGAAGAGGAGGAAUCUUCAUCCCAUCACGUGUCUGCAUCUUGCACAGAGUAAAUACCCUUUAUUAGAUUUAGAACUCAGUCCAGCCUCCUAAGUGCAGUAAUUGCUAGUGUUAAGAAGAGAGAAAACAAGUCACUAAAGACAGCCUGAUGGAAAAGAUGACCAUGACAACGUG